rnacentral:misc_RNA from 1 species
UUAAGUUCAGCGGGUAUUCCUACCUGAUCCGAGGUCAACCUUGUAAAAAAUAAAAGGAGAGACCGCGCUAUCAGACCGCGGACGGCGCGUGCUGGUGAGAGCUCAUUGCACCGAGGGUCAUAUAGGCAACCGUCACUAUCUUUCGAACCGGUCGUCUAACGGACCUGGGGGUUCAACGACAAGCCCAAGCUUGAGGGGUG